UACGUAGGAGACGAGCGUUGUCCGGAAUUACUGGGUGUAAAGCGCGUGUAGGCGGGAGGCCAAGUCUGUGGUGAAAUCGCUCGGCUUAACUGGGCGGGGUCCAUGGAAACUGGUCACCUGGAGGUCGGUAGAGGCAAGUGGAAUUCCCGGUGUAGUGGUGAAAUGCGUAGAGAUCGGGAGGAACACCAGUGGCGAAGGCGGCUUGCUGGGCCGGACCUGACGCUGAGACGCGAAGGCGUGGGGAGCGAACGGG
rnacentral:rRNA from 1 species